CCUAACAACACACAACAUUCCAGGAAUGUACUACCAAAGUUCUAUCAAUAUUUGAAUGUCCUGGACAUUUAGGGAACAUUCGGUGAACAUCUGAUUAAAUUAUUCGUGGAAUGUUACCAUAAGACAUUCUGUGAACAUACUACCAAUGUUCCUGUUCAUUUUCAAAUUCACGGCGCAUGUAUUUGUGCAUGGUGCUUAGAGAGGGCAUCACGUGACUAAAAACGACCAAUGACCUCACUUCAGACUUCGGUUCGGCCAUCUUGACAUGCAUCUUGCCUUGGCCACCUUGCCGUGCGUGAUCGUUGUUUGUUUUUAUUUGUGCUUUUUAAGAAUAUUUUUUAAUUCGGAUACUUUUAUAAUAACUUUAAUAGUAUUAUUAAUAUAGUGCAUAAAAUCAGUUGGAGUAGCAGAAGCAAUGUAGAUAAAAAAUCUGCAGGAAUAAUGUUUCAAAGGUUAGUAUAUUAUGCAAAUAUGUAAACAAAGGCAUGCCCCUAUUUCAGAAAAUAUCCAUUUAUUAUUUUAAUAAUUGCGAAUAAGCCACAAACUUGCUUAUUCCUAAUUAAAAUAGUAAAUAGAGAUAAUAACAAACGGAUUAUUUGUAAAAUUAAAUUUUUUUUUGCGUUUUUGCUAAUGUAUGCGUUUAUAAACAGGAUGGUAGACCACACACUAUAAUAGUACCAACUAAUGAAUACACAGUAUGAAUAGUACAGUCGGUUCGCUAAACUUAGUCUCAGACACAACUGGCUAGUGAUUUUAGUAAAUAAUUUUGACAAUUUGGUAAAAUUGGCAAAAAAAUAACUAAAUAGUUCGUAAUUUUGGCAAAAAUGGCCAAAAACAAAAAAAUUACCUACUAAAAUCACUAGCCAGUUGUGGCUAGGGAAACGACUAUACUAAUAAACAAUUUCUAAGCUGCUUUUUAUAAUAUUUUCUUUCCAGAAGAUCCUGCGAAGAAGGCAUGAAGUAUUGAUCAGAUUUGUUAAUAGAGCAGUAUGUUCAAAACAUUUUUUAGAAAAAGAUAUUGACAGAACUUCACUUUCAACCGUUUGAGAGACUGUGCUGUUCCAAUAGCUUAUAUCACACAGAAUCAGCUGAGAGAAGUGGUCUACAAAAAACCAGGAAGGAAAUGGAAUAUGUGGCUAUGAAAGGCAAAAGAAAGGUUUACAAAGCAAAUGUGACACAUUUUUUUAUAGGAAUAUCAGUAAAUUACAUUAAAAAAAUGUAUGAAAAGAUUUUUUGCAAUAAAAAUGUUUAUAUUUAUCAAGCAUGCAUUAUUUGGUAUGGCCACAUAUCGUCAGUGAUGUGACAAUACCUCCUAUCUGUUUUUUCAUGAGAUUUGUAAGAUAGACUAAAAACUUGUUUGGGCCACCUCCUGUUUUCAUAUAUUUUUUGACUUGUUUUGCAGUAAAUUUAACUAUCUAUUUACUACAAAACAAGCCAGAACUUACGUAUGCAAACAGGAGGUGACCUUAAAAAAUGUUUUUCGUCUCCUGCAAACCUCAUGAAAAAAGAU